rnacentral:rRNA from 1 species
GAUGAACGCUAGCGACAGGCCUAACACAUGCAAGUCGAGGGGCAGCAUGAAAUUAGCUUGCUAAUUUUGAUGGCGACCGGCGCACGGGUGAGUAACACGUAUGCAACCUGCCUGUAAGCGGGGGAUAACCCGGAGAAAUUCGGACUAAUACCGCAUAAUAUCAUUAAUUCGCAUGUUUUAAUGAUUAAAAAUUUAUUGCUUACAGAUGGGCAUGCGUAUGAUUAGCUAGUUGGCGGGGUAACGGCCCACCAAGGCGACGAUCAUUAGGGGUUCUGAGAGGAAGGUCCCCCACAUUGGAACUGAGACACGGGUCCAAACUCCUACGGGAGGCAGCAGUGAGGAAUAUUGGUCAAUGGACGAGAGUCUGAACCAGCCAUGUCGCGUGAAGGAUGACUGUCCCUAUGGAUUGUAAAC